UACGUAGGGUGCAAGCGUUGUCCGGAAUUAUUGGGCGUAAAGAGCUCGUAGGCGGUUUGUCGCGUCUGCCGUGAAAGUCCGGGGCUCAACUCCGGAUCUGCGGUGGGUACGGGCAGACUAGAGUGAUGUAGGGGAGACUGGAAUUCCUGGUGUAGCGGUGAAAUGCGCAGAUAUCAGGAGGAACACCGAUGGCGAAGGCAGGUCUCUGGGCUGUAACUGACGCUGAGGAGCGAAAGCGUGGGGAGCGAACAGG
rnacentral:rRNA from 1 species